UACGGAGGAGGCAAGCGUUAUCCGGAAUUAUUGGGCGUAAAGCGUCCGCAGGUGGCACUUCAAGUCUGUCGUCAAAGACUGGGGCUUAACCCUGGAAAGGCGGUGGAAACUGAAGCUCUAGAGUGUGGUAGGGGUAGAGGGAAUUCCCGGUGUAGCGGUGAAAUGCGUAGAGAUCGGGAAGAACAUCGGUGGCGAAGGCGCUCUACUGGACCACAACUGACACUCAGGGACGAAAGCUAGGGGAGCGAAUGGG
rnacentral:rRNA from 1 species